CAGCAGCCGCGGGAAUACGAAGGGGGCUAGCGUUGUUCGGAAUUACUGGGCGUAAAGCGCACGCAGGCGGCUCGAUAAAUUAGAAGUGAAAGCCUUGGGCUUAACCUGAGAAUUGCUUUUAAGACUGUCGAGCUAGAAUCCAGAAGAGGGUAGUGGAAUUCCGAGUGUAGAGGUGAAAUUCGUAGAUAUUCGGAAGAACACCAGUGGCGAAGGCGACUACCUGGUCUGGCAUUGACGCUCAUGUGCGAAAGCGUGGGGAGCAAACAGGAUUAGAUACCCGCGUAGUCCCUGUCUCUUAUAC
rnacentral:rRNA from 1 species